GAUGAACGCUAGCUACAGGCUUAACACAUGCAAGUCGAGGGACCGGCGCACGGGUGAGUAACACGUAUCAAACCUGCCCUUUACUCGGGGAUAGCCUUUCGAAAGAAAGAUUAAUACACGAUAAAAAGGAUGGGGAUGGGUUCCCUUAGGUUGUGGGUGAGGUAACGGCUAACCAAGCCUUCGAUGGAUAGGGGUUCUGAGAGGAAGGUCCCCCGCAUGUGAACUGAGACACGGUCCAAACUCCUACGGGAGGCAGCAGUGAGGAAUAUUGGUCAAUGGGCGCUAGCCUGAACCAGCCAAGUAGCGUGAAAGAUGAAGGGGUAUGGGUCGUAAACUUCUUUUAUAUAAGAAUAUGUAUUAUAUGAAUAAGGAUCGGCUAACUCCGUGCCAGCAGCCGCGGUAAUAC
rnacentral:rRNA from 1 species